UACAGAGGGUGCGAGCGUUAAUCGGAAUUACUGGGCGUAAAGCGUGUGUAGGCGGACGUGUAAGUCAGGUGUGAAAUCCCCGGGCUCAACCCGGGAACUGCACUUGAAACUGCGCGUCUUGAGUGCUGGAGAGGGUAGUGGAAUUCCUGGUGUAGAGGUGAAAUUCGUAGAUAUCAGAAGGAACACCAGUGGCGAAGGCGGCUACCUGGACAGUCACUGACGCUGAGACACGAAAGCGUGGGGAGCAAACAGG
rnacentral:rRNA from 1 species